rnacentral:lncRNA from 1 species
CCAUCUUCAUGGAAUGGAGUUCUAUGUAAUGGCGGUAACGUUGCGGGCGUUGUCCUUGAUAACCUCGGUCUCUCUGCUGAUGCUGAUUUGAGUGUUUUUUCAAACCUCACAAAGCUUGUGAAGCUAUCCAUGUCCAACAAUCUCAUAUCAGGAAAUGUACCUGACAACAUUGGUACUUUCGAAAGCCUUCAAUUCCUGGAUAUCUCGAAUAACCUCUUUUCUUCAUCCUUACCAUCGGGAAUUGGUAACUUAGGUAGUUUGCAGAAUCUGUCAUUGGCUGGAAAUAACUUCGCUGGCCUAAUUCCUGACACUAUUUCAAAAAUGGCUUCUGUCCAGUCCUUGGACUUGAGCCGUAACUCCUUUUCUGGAGCAAUGCCAGCAUCAUUGACUAAGCUGAAAAGCUUGGUAUCUCUUAACUUGUCCCAUAACAGCUUCACUGGGAAAAUUCCCGAAGGUUUUGCACUGAUGUCUACUCUUGAAAAACUUGACUUGCAUGGGAAUAUGCUCGAUGGUCAUUUAGAUGCCGAAUUUAUUCUUUUAUCUAGAGCCAGUUACGUCGAUUUCAGUGAUAAUAGGCUAGUGAGUUCUGAUUCCCAGAGGCAGAAGUUUCUACCGCAGAUAUCUGAAAGUAUUAAGCAUCUAAAUCUAAGUCAUAACUUGCUAACCGGGACAUUGGUUAGUGGAGCCGAGCAACCAGUUUUUGAAAACUUGAAGGUGUUGGACCUCAGCUACAAUAAUUUGGAUGGAGAAUUGCCUGGCUUUGAUUUUGUUUAUGAUCUCCAGGUCCUUAAGCUUAGCAGCAACAGAUUUUCAGGAUUUAUUCCUGAUGGCCUACUAAAAGGAGACUCUUUGGUUUUAACCGAACUGGAUUUGAGUGCCAACAAUCUCUCAGGUAGAAAGCCACUUCCACUUUUUCUUUUAAAAAACCCGUCUUAUUUUACUAGUCCUUACUCCUUAGCCUCAAUUACUAUUCGUCUAUUAAUAUUUAUGUUGUCUUUCAGGGCCACUAAGUAUAAUUACAUCAACGACGCUGCAUUUUCUUAAUCUCUCGUCAAAUGGAUUUACCGGUGAUCUGCCGCUUCUGACUGGAAGCUGUGCUGUACUUGAUCUGUCAAACAACAAAUUUGAAGGAAAUUUAACGAGGAUGGUGAAAUGGGGGAACAUAGAAUAUCUUGAUCUCAGUGUGAAUCAUUUAACAGGGAGCAUCCCUGAGGCAACUCCUCAAUUUUUGAGAUUGAAUUAUUUGAAUCUGUCACAUAAUUCUCUUAGCAGCUUCCUCCCGAGAAUCAUAACACAGUAUCCAAAGCUUAGAGUGCUUGACAUUAGUUUCAACCAGUUAGGUGGACUACUUCUAGCUGAUCUGCUCGCAAUGCCUACUUUGCACGAGCUCCACCUUGAAAAUAAUAUGAUCUCUGGCAGCAUUAAUUUAUCGUCUCCUUCUGGUCAUUCCAAUCUUCAAAUUCUCGACCUUUCUCACAACCGGUUUAAUGGCUAUUUUCCUGACCAGUUUGGGUCAUUAACUGGCAUGAAAGUUCUCAACAUCGCUGGAAAUAAUUUUUCUGGCUCUCUUCCAACCACUAUUGCUGACAUGAUUUCACUCGAAACCUUGGAUAUGUCAGAGAAUCACUUCACUGGUCCUCUACCAAAUAACAUGCCGAAUGGCCUCAACAACUUUAAUGUUUCACAAAAUGAUCUGUCUGGAGUUGUUCCAGAAGAUCUUAGAAAGUUCACUAGUUCUUCUUUCUUUCCAGGGAAUGCUAAGUUACAUUUUCCAAAUGGUCCUCCUGGAUCAACCGCUUCGUCACCUGAAAGUUCCAAGAGGAAACAUAUGAACACUAUCGUUAAAGUAAUAAUUAUAGUAUCAUGUGUGGUUGCUCUCUUCAUAUUAAUCUUGCUUGCUAUCUUCAUACACUACAUACGUAUAUCAAGAUCUUCACCGGAAUAUGAUACAAGUAAAGAUAUCCAUGGACGUGCUCAACCAAUCAUCUCUGGCCCCAUCCCUGUUCGUACAUCAGAAAGGGGUGGUGCUUUGGUUGUAUCAGCUGAGGACCUUGUGACCUCACGUAAAGGAUCACCGUCAGAGGCAAUCAGCCCCGAUGAAAAAAUGGCAGCUGUAACUGGUUUCUCUCCAUCUAAAGUCAGCCGCUUUUCGUGGUCACCAGAGUCUGGUGAUUCACUUCCUGCUGAAAAUCUUGCAAGGCUAGACACAAGAUCCCCGGAUAGGUUGGUUGGAGAGCUGCAUUUUCUUGAUGAUACAAUAGCAUUGACACCCGAGGAGCUGUCAAGGGCUCCGGCUGAAGUUUUGGGCAGAAGCAGUCAUGGUACUUCUUACAAAGCAACUCUGGACAAUGGUUUAUUGUUGAGAGUAAAGUGGUUGAGAGAAGGAGUAGCGAAACAGAGAAAAGAAUUUGUUAAAGAGAUUAAAAAGUUUGCAAACAUCAGACAAGGGAUUAAGAAAUAAUAUUUUUAUUAUUGUUUAAAUUCUUCAACCAAUUUUCUAGCUUAAAUUAUCAAUUUUUGUGUGAUUGUAGUGUUACAUAUGUUACGUUACUAAAUUGUUAUUAAGUUAGUAUUAUAUAUGUUAUUAGUUACUAAAAUGUUUUCUAAUGUCUUAUGAUUUGGAACAUAUUUUCCAAUUUUUGUGAUAUUGAGUUUGAAACUAACAUAUAUCAUAUAUAUUGUUAUACAUGUAUUGUUACAUGUGUUACUAAUUAUGAAAUGUAAGGUUAUAAAUGUAACUAUUAUAUAUUUUACUAAUUGAUAUAUAUGUUACUAAUCAUGAAGUGUAUUGUUAUAUAUGAUUCAUAAUUUUUUAUAAUAAUAGUAGUAGUAAUGUUUAUCCUUUUAUGAUAAACAAUAUAUCUUGUAAUACAUUUUGAAUUUUCAAUUGAUAAAAUAUUUUUUAUAUAAAAAGUAAAUGUAAAAACCGUGGAACCAAACCGAACUGAACCAUUCAAGAGCGGUUUGGUUCGGUUUGGUUCUUAUAGUUAAAGUUGCGGUUAAUUGAGCGGAACCGAACCAUAUGUUUUUGAUCGGUUCGGUCACUAAAAUGCACCAAAAACCAAACCGAACCGAAUUUUUACACCCCUACACUAAACGAUGUAAGAAAAGGAAAAAUUAGCUUAGCAAUACUUAUGAGUCAUUAUUAUGUGCAUUUAGUUAGCUUUUCCCAUUACAAAUGUGUUUUUUGGAAAUUAGUGUAAAAGAAAUAUACAGUAUUAUUUGUAUUUAAAAUUUUAUUAUAUAAAAUAUGAAUAGUAAAAAUCUCUUAUAGAAUAAGUGUAUACAUAUUUUUCAACUUUCUUUUAGUUACUACAUAUACUUGAUGGAGUGAGAUAGAGGAGUGAAAAAAAAGUUGAGAAAAAAGGAAAAAAAUAUAAUUAUAUUUAUAUUUGAGAUAUAUUUUAAAAAUAUGUCUGCUUAUAUUUAUGUUUUAAAUUUUAUGGACUUAAUAAAAUGAAUAAAUAAGAUUUUAAAAAAUAUAUGUAUUUUCCUCUUUAAACAAGUAGGGUUUAAGCUUCCUAUAUAUAAAAAAUAUUUAUUAAAAGAGCUAAAAUCAAUAUAUUGCAGUUAUUAUAAACUAAAAAAAGAGUUAUUUUUUGUGGAAGAUAUGUGAUACUAAGAAAAACUAAAUAAAGUUUUGAGUAAGUGUUUACUGAAUAAUAAGUGGCUCAAAAUAUAGGAUUGUUUUGUAAUUCUUUAUUUUUUUGGGUAUGACAAUAUACUGUCCAUUUAAGUCUCCCCUCUUCAUUCUGCUGCUGUUCAUUCUAAUUUUUCUAUGAUGUAUUGAAAAUCAUAAUUUCCCUUGCAUGUGAGAUGCAUCUCUACAUGGAGAAAAAAAGAUGAAAAAUAUGUUAUUUCUCCAUAGAAUUAGAAAUGGAUAAUUUAUAAUAAUGGUAAUAAUGUAAAGAUUUAUACACAGUUUGUAUACGUUCAUUAUUUAUUUAUAUUAUUAUAUUUAAAAGUCAAUAAUGAUCUAAUUUGAGUGAUAAAUGAUAUAAUAACAAUGUAACAAACUUUUACAUUGUCGGUGUAUAUUUUUCUUAUCUAUUGACCAAAAAUAGAAAUUAAGGAAAUUAUUGGGAGAUCUUCAUUCAUGAGCUAUAUCAUUCUUUCAUAGGUUUGACCACACACAUUAAUAUAAAACUUUAAGGCAUUAAGUCUAUAUGUCCAUUCGUCUAUAUGCUUUUAACUCAUCAACUUUUACGCAAUGCAGGACUUCCUCAAGUGAGUAACUCCUCUUUGAAUAUCGGAAACACUAGAGUUGAGCUCUCUAUCUACUUGUGACCACUUGUCGCUUCAAUACUUGGUUGAUCUGUCAAACCGUCGGUUCUGAUACCACUUGUUGGGAAAUCUUCAUCCACAUGCUAUGACAUUCUUCCCUGAGCUAAGCGAAAGAAAUAUAUAAGUGAGUUUGACACUGCAUUUUGACCCAAAACCUUAAGACAUUAAGUUUAUGAGCCUACUCGCUUAUAGGCUCUUCAACUCAUUCACUUUUAUACAAUACAAAUAUUCUUCAUUCACAUUUGGAAUAUCGAAUAAAAAUAAACAUUAGAUAAGUAGUUGUAGAUGUCACAUAGUGAACUCCUAAAUUGUUGUUUUGCAUUAGCUAUUAACUCAACAUGUGUUGUGAAGGUGGACAUGUAAUAGUUACAAAUAAACUUGACAUACUAUGUUAUUCAAAUCCCAUAAUCAUUUUUUAAGAAAGAUUUUACCUUACCAUCACCUUCAACCAUUAAACAAUUAAUACCCAAAAGAUAAUGAUAAAAACACAAACAAAACUCUUGUUAAAUAUUUAAAAAAAAAGAAUUAAAUGGAAAAUUUAAGCUUAGAUUUUUAAUUUUCAUUUAAUGCUUAAUCAAUUUGUUGGUCAACAUAAUUAUCUAAACUGUUCUGAAAAAUUAGUUGAGAAAUGUCAAAAUACAAAAUUUUGUGUUGCAAUUAUAGCUUCCAUGCCAUGCUUUAGGGCAUAGCAUUAGGACCCUUGGCCCAUGUUACCAACCCCUUAACCCAUUACCAUUAUUCUUCCACCAACUUCACUUCUUCAAUUAAUUUUUUUUGGAAUGAGUGAUCAAAACAAGAAACCCUAGUCAAAGGGGUAGUGGUGACUCAUCACUCCUACAUGGCACAUUGUUGACACAGCUUCCAAUCCAACCUCUCUUACACAAAAAAUAUUUAACCCCAUCUCAAAAAAUCUUUUCACAUCCACUAUGAAAGUGAAAGAUUCUCUACUUUUUUGGCUGGUAAAUCCCUAAUUUUGCAGGCACCAUUUAUUUAGCCUCAAAAGGAUGUAAUAAUAAAACUAAAAAAGAUAACUUUAUCUUAAAACCUUUCACAAAUUAACAAUUCAGGUUUUUGUUUUAAAGGUUAUUCAUUGUCACAUGCUAAAAAGACACACUUAAAAAAAGGACAAAGGUACUCUUUUUUUAAGGUUAUGUUGUCACCCUGCAUUAAUGUAAAAUAUUGGGGUUAAUUAAUUGAAUGUGAAUCUAUGUACCAGUAAUGUUAAAUUUAAGUAUAGUUACUAUAUUAUUCAUUCUUUUUUUAUAUUACUUUUAUCAUAUAAGAGUUAACAAUGAUCAACGAUAAAUGAUAAAUAAUAUAAUAAUAUUAUAAAAAACUCUUUGCAUAAAUCUUUUUCUCUAAUUAACUUUAUAUCAUAAUCUAAGUUUUUUUACAACUUUACUAAAACAAAUUAACACUCCUUUUUGGGUUGAAAAAAAGACCUUCAUCCUUCAAUCUAAGCUUUGAAGAACCAAAAAUAAAUUAUGGGUCCAUUUCCCUUUAUUGCACUGUGGAUGUCAAUUUGGGUACUCAUUCUUCUUUCCUCCACUAGUUGUUUGUAGCUGCAUUAACUUCUAGAGUUUCUGAAGUUCUAAUCUUUGUAUUAAGCUCUAACUUCUGCUUCUAAAGUUUGAUACUUGGUGGUAGUGGACUAGUGGUUUAUGCUGAAGUCUACAUUGUGCUAAAGAAAGUGGUUUAGGUAAGAAAGUUUGUAUUUUUAUGUGUUCAGAUCUCUGAAACCUCACUCAUUGUGUCUGGUUCAUUUAAGUGCAUUGAUGUUUUUGUUUACACUGUGCAAGUGGUUGUCUCUUCUUAUUUCUUAACCUGCAUUGCACUCCUAAAUUAUUAUUAUUAGGAAAAAAAAUUCUCUUGAAGAAUCUAUUUUCCCAUCAUUUGGUGUUUGUAAAGCAUAAAUUUUCUGUCUUGGUGAAAAAUUUGAUUUUUUUUAAUAAUUUUUCAAAAUCUAGUUUUGGGUUUAUAAUUUCUUAUAAUAUGCUUUCUUUUUUUAAGGGUAGGUAGCUGGUGGUUCUGAAGAAUGGUUGAUGCUUCUGUAGGUUUUGGAUGUAAAUAUGUCCUUCACUUAGUGUGGAUUGAGGAGCUUAAGGACCUAAGUUCUCUUCUUUUUUGGAGGUUGAGCUUGAUUCUACUCUAAGUUGGUGCUUUCUUUUAAAAGGGUAUCAUGGCAUCUAAAUUGUACUUCUUUGUUGGUGGGUUUGGAAAGUAGCUCCUAUCAUUUGAAGUAUAAGAUUGAAAGUUCCUUUUCUUUUUUCACUUGAGUGUGAACCACACAUAGCUAAACAUUGAUAUAUUCAUAGAACAAAAUGAAGCUCUUUAGCCUUUUAGUGUUAUCAUUAUCUUUCUUCUCAGUUAUGGGGCAGUUACCAUCACAGGACAUUUUAGCAUUGCUGGAAUUUAAGAAAGGCAUAAGGCAUGACCCUACUGGUUAUGUUCUCAAUUCCUGGAAUGAGGAAUCCAUUGACUUUGAUGGAUGCCCAUCUUCAUGGAAUGGAGUUCUAUGUAAUGGCGGUAACGUUGCGGGCGUUGUCCUUGAUAACCUCGGUCUCUCUGCUGAUGCUGAUUUGAGUGUUUUUUCAAACCUCACAAAGCUUGUGAAGCUAUCCAUGUCCAACAAUCUCAUAUCAGGAAAUGUACCUGACAACAUUGGUACUUUCGAAAGCCUUCAAUUCCUGGAUAUCUCG